GCUGGCGUAGCUCAAUUUGGUAGAGCAGCUGAUUUGUAAUCAGCCGGUUGUAGGUUCAAGUCCUAUCGCCAGCUCCA
rnacentral:tRNA from 1 species